rnacentral:tRNA from 1 species
GGCCGGAUCGUUAAGUUAGAGCGUCGUGCUGACAACUCGAAUAACGUGGGUUCGAUCUCCAUACUGGCCC